UCUUCCAGGUGCAAACCUUCACAUCCUACCCUCCUUUGAUGCCAUCGAUCGAAGGAAUUUCCCCGUCGUCGUCUUCUUCCAUGGCGGUGGAUUCGAGUUCCUCUUUAUCGACAACUACUCUGAUCUCUUACGCAAAACCUCUAAGUUGCUCGAUAUGACUAUGGCAUAUCGGCCACAACCCCCUCCGAUUCAUCGAUUUUGGCGGAAUCGAUGCCGUCGCCAGUGGAUAUUAAUAGAAGUUACCCGCAGCUUGCUAUAAAGAAAAACCACUAAAGAUUGAUCUUAAAGAUUGGGGGAGAUCGAUGACAAUCGAUUUGGAUUUUGGAAGGUUGAUUUUCUUUGUUCACAAUCUCAGUUAUCUAUAUUCGCAAUUACAGGAAUAUUCGCGAGACAGAGAAAAAUGAAGUUUAGCGUCUUAGCAUUGUACGAAGAUCCAGCACGCAAGCAGAAAGAGAGAGAUCAAGACACCCGAUCUUUUUUAUCUGGAAAACCCGAAGAGGGAAAAACCACGGAGCCUCGCCCAUGUGAAAAGAUUCCACUAAACUUGACUGAAUUGCAAGGGUUGACCCGUCCCUCGAUUUAGAGGUGGUCAGAUUACAGUAAUUUGAAGAGUUAGUCAAAGGACCGAUGACGGUCGUACAAA